AUCGGACAUAUCGAGUGCAUAGAGGAGGACUCUCACUUCCCUAUUUAUCUAUACAAGGACACAGGAGACAGCUGGUUUGCAACACAGGAUUAUACUCCCCAAAACAGGACAUUAUAACAGGACCGUUUCACAAGGACUCUCACUUCCCUGUUUAUCUAUACAAGGACACAGGAGUCAGCUGGUUUGCAACACAGGAUUAUACUCCCCAAAACAGGACAUUAUAACAGGACAGUUUCACAAGGUUAGUCACAUACUCAGUUAUGUGGACACAUACAAUUAACAUGUUCCAUUGAAGUGUGUGUGUGUGUGAGUCAAGAGUGUGUGUGUGUGAGUGUGUGUCCAGUGUAUGUGUGAGUGUGUUUCCAGUGUGUGUGUGUGUGUGUGUGUGUCCAUGUAUUUAAAUGUCAUAUUGUGAUCAAACAUAAAACAUUAGAGAGAAACAUCAUGUUGUGUUUGACACAGGGACACUGAGGACUUUGUAAAAAGCCUAAACCCUGGAUAGAGGGGCUCAGUGAACGUGGAGGUGAAUGUGUGCAGGUGGGUCAGUGUGUCAGAGGAGACUCUAUAGUAGGACAGAGUGCCGGCUGGCCAAUCCAGAUACACUCUUACUCAGUGGGAGCUGGUAGUGGGAUUAUUAUUGUGCCAGGCAGUGUAACUGUUGUCAGAGCAGUCCAGACUCCAGGACUCCUUAUUCCCACCAAUCUUACAUUUAUUACCCCCUCCUCUCCUGUUGAUUCCUUUAUAUGUCACUCCUAUAACAGCCUCUCUCCCACUCCACUCUGCCUCCCAGUAACAGCGCCCAG